rnacentral:tRNA from 1 species
GUGCUCGUCGCCAAAUGGAUAAGGCCUCAGAUUUCUACUCUGACAUUUUGGGGGUUCGAGUCCCUCCGGGCACG